CAAAUGUUUUAUUCAAGGCAGGGAAGCAUUAACCAAAGACGGCUUUAUGGUGGUUAUGAAGCCUACACACGUGUGGAAACGAUUUUAUAUGGCAAUCCCUAUUGCACGGAUGGUUAAACAUCUCUGAAGAGAAAACAUGGAUGUCAUUCUACGUAUUAACGAGCGUACAUGGAGGACCAGACUUAAUUAUUACAAAGGUCGUGAUUCCGGAGGGCUUUGUGGUGGUUGGAAGAGUUUUGCGAGUGACAACAAUUUAAUAGAACAUGACAUGUGCGUAUUUGAGCCAUCUGAUAUGGGAAGUAAACCUAUCGUCCUGGAUGUUUGCAUCUUUCGGGUUACGGAUUAACCAGCUCAAGCAUCAGUUUCUCUGACGACAGACCCUUUCACUGAACCGGAAGAACAGUAGAAGCAUCAUCUCUAGGUACGACUUAUAUAAAUGUUUGAUAUGUUUUUAAGUUGUAGUUUUAAAAAGUCGGUUAAUCUGCCGUGCUACUACUGCCUAAUAGAAGCUUUAUCUUGUAAAUUAGGUAUGAUGAGAUGGUUAUCCUUCUGCCAUUUACCACGUUUUGGUUUCUGUGA